ensembl:rRNA 5S_rRNA 5S ribosomal RNA
GUCUACGGCCAUACCACCCUGAAUGCACCCAAACCCAUCUGAUCUCGGAAGCUAAGCAGGGUCGGGCCUGGUUAGUACUUGGAUGGGAGAAUCCUGAUAUUAAAACAAGAAAGUAGAGU